rnacentral:rRNA from 1 species
GCAGAUCUACAGUGAAUCAUCGAAUCUUUGAACGCACCUUGCGCUCCUCGGUGUUCCGAGGAGCAUGCCUGUUUGAGUGUCAGUAAAUUCUCAACCCCUCUCGAUUUGCUUCGAGCGGGUGCUUGGAUGUUGGGGGCUGCCGGAGACACUGGAUUCGUC